UAAUACGGAGGGUGCAAGCGUUAAUCGGAAUUACUGGGCGUAAAGCGCGCGUAGGCGGAUUGGUCAGUUGGAUGUGAAAGCCCCGGGCUUGACCUGGGAACUGCAUACAAUACUGCCAGUCUAGAGUGCAGGAGAGGAGAGUAGAAUUUCAGGUGUAGCGGUGAAAUGCGUAGAGAUCUGAAGGAAUAUCAAUGGCGAAGGCAGCUCUCUGGCCUGACACUGACGCUGAGGUGCGAAAGCGUGGGUAGCGAACAGGAUUAGAUACCCUGGUAGUCCACGCCGUAAACGAUGUCAACUAGCCGUUGGGGCCCUUGAGGUCUUAGUGGCGCAGCUAACGCAAUAAGUUGACCGCCUGGGGAGUACGGUCGCAAGAUUA
rnacentral:rRNA from 1 species